CUUAGUUUUCCACAGUGUCGCGAUCCCAUUGCAGUCAAGUUGAACGACUUCUUCCCUUCAAGCGACGAAGCUCUUCCCUAACACGCGGUGAAUGACAACGGCGUAUACGACAUCUAGCAGAUCUCUGGCCUCAAGCCUGUCUUUCUCUAUGCGUCGUCCCGCAGAUCUUCGACCUCAAGCCCUUCCCGCCGACCUCACAUGCUUCCAACUGAUUUCUCUCAUAGAUAUGCAAACAUACCCCGAAAAUUGUAAGGGGAAUUAGGAAAUUCAUAGAGGGUUUCAAUCCUCAAAAAAGGUAACCUAUUGCUUCCUUUUCUUUUCACUUGGAACGGGGUGUCUGGUUUUGAACUGUUCGCAAGCUGCUCUAGAAAUAUAUUAAUUCAUGCUUCUAUGUUUUGCAAUUGAAAUUAUUAUAGAGGCAAAAAUGUAGCAAUCAUUCAUUAUUUACCACAUGAAGAAACUUGCGCCAAAUGGGAUCCAAAUAUUAUCUAUCUAUUUUAUGCAGGGGCACAAGUUUGUCAAUUUUCUUAAAUACUCUAGUAUGUAUAUACUUGGCACAGUGAAUUAGUUUUUGUAUACUUUUAGUCUAGAAAGUCAUUUAAAUAUAAAGCCUUCUUUUGCCUUUAAUUUAAUAACGUGGAUUGCAUUUCUGAAGUAUUUGGAUGGAUUACAUGAUAUAACAAGGAUGAUGGUGCAUUUUGGAAAACCAUUAGCGCAUGUAAAAGCAUUCUAUACUGUUGUAAGUAUAAUUUCUUUGUCAUUCUAUUAUAUAGGUUCUCAAUGGUGAUAUAUCAAGUAAGUGCUAACUAGGAUUAUUUGCUUGCCAUUUAUCAUUCUGAAGAUAGCUUUACUUCAGUUGAUUCAUGAAAUAUUUUAUAUUUCUCAAGUAUGAUUUUCUUAUUAAUUAGUACCCUAUUUAAUUAGUUUCAGACCACAUGCUUGGAAUGUGUCACUACAAGUUUCCAUGACUGUAACAGAUGGUUUGUGCUCACUAGCAUUAUUUUAUCUUAAUUUGAUAUUUUGGGUCAUUUUCAAUUUUAGUGUUGAUUGUGUGAAAUGUAUAUAGGCAUGACAAUUGUGGAGUGAGAGCAAGGGAGUAGAAAUGUACAUAGGCAUGGAAAUUGUGUGAAAUGGGCUGGUCUCUAUAAAAUGAGCAUUGAUUGUAUAAGAAGAAAUCUGUUGACCAUUAUAAUUUAUAAUUUAUAAUUAUGUUGUAGUGAACUCAGAUGAGUGCUUGAUGACAAGAAUGCAAGAAAUGUCACUGGAUUACCAUUUCAUAGCUGAGUAAGAAAUGGGUUCCUCCACUUAUGCCUUUUUUGGAUUUAAUGGCCAGCUUAACCAAAAACUCUUUAUUUUAUUUAUUUAUAUAUUUUAGAAAUAUUAUGUUUUCAAAAACAAAGAAAAAUAAUACUUUAUUUACAAUACAAUAAAUGUCGCUGUUUAUGUUAUCAGAUAAUAAAAAAUCAGAGUUUAAACUAGUGGAAUUAGAUUGAAAGAUUUGUGAAGAGUUACUUUCUUGAUUAUGAUGUUAUGAGUUACACAUUGUAUAUUUUAUCAGUAGUGGCUUGCUACAAACUACUCAGGUAGCAAUAAUAAAAAUUACAGUAUAACAGAUAAAGUGAAAUGGGUUUAGUAUUUAAUGAUCGAACUUGGUUGGUGUAUAUAGUAUUGGUAGUUGCAAUUCAAUUCUAUGUGUUAACUUCUUUCUUUGGACCCAAAAUAGAUUAGUGCUUAUGUUCAUUUGUCCCUAAGUACUGCAACUUUUUUAUACUACUUUUUAAGAAAAGAAAAACAAAUUAAACUAAAAUGUUUAUCUUUGCCACUUAGCCAUUUAUAGUGACUUUGUUCUCAAGGACUUUUACAAAAAAUUAUAUUUUCAAUUGUAAUUUAUGCAUACAAAAAAUCAAUGAUUGUUGUCUCUAUUCUCAUUUAGAUGAUGAAAUUUUGGGACUUUAAUUAAGGCUUUGAUUAUCUAUAUUUGGGUAUGUAUCUACUUUUAAGUUCCAUUCUUAUGAAAACAUUUCUAUUGACAGAUGCACUUUUACUGCAACUAUACCGGGAAUAGAAUGAAUUAAUGUCAUCAUAGAAGCUGCUAAAGAACGAUUUGGUGAUUCUCAAAGAAAAUAAGCAAUAGGUUCUAUGAGUUUGGUGAAGAGUAAGUGAAGAACAUUGAUAAUUAUGUAACUCUUUUUUUUUCUUGAAUAGGUGGACUUAUUGUUAGCAAGCACAAAUAAUGCAAUAUUAAUGAUAGAGUCAGACCUGUACUGCAAAUUAGCUUGUUGUAA